rnacentral:rRNA from 1 species
UGGGUAACCUGCCUCAAAGAGGGGAAUAGCCUCCCGAAAGGGAGAUUAAUACCGCAUAAUAUGUUUAGGUCGCAUGACUUUAACAUCAAAGGAUUUUCUUUUAGAAAUUCCACUUUGAGAUGGACCCGCGGCGCAUUAGCUAGUUGGUGAGGUAACGGCUCACCAAGGCAACGAUGCGUAGCCGACCUGAGAGGGUGAUCGGCCACAUUGGAACUGAGACACAGUCCAGACCUCUACGGGAG